rnacentral:rRNA from 2 species
CGAUCCCAGGUCAGGCGGGGUUACCCGCUGAAUUUAAGCA